GCCAACGUAGCUCAGCCGGUAGAGCAACGGUUUCGUAAACCGUAGGUCGAGGGUUCGAGUCCCUCCGUUGGCU
rnacentral:tRNA from 1 species